rnacentral:tRNA from 1 species
GAGAAAGGCCUCUGGGGCAAUAAGUUCUGCUAAUUCUGAUAACCGCGGUUAAAGUCCCCGGCUUCCUUG